rnacentral:tRNA from 1 species
GCCAGAGAAUUGGACAGUGUUCUGACAUUGGUAUACAGUUUAGUCUCAAAAUGUAAUGGUCGUAACAGGCCGUGUGGGUUCGAGUCCCACCUCUGGCA